GUGUCAGUAUUUUGUGAUUUGCCAACAUUUAAAUUUAUUGACAGCUCAACUAUCGUGUGGCAACUUAUCGGCUAAACGCGUUUUUGGUAUUUUUUCUAUUUAUAUCGAUGGUUGGCAACUCACUAUCAAUGAACAUUUCUGCUUCCCAGGUCUGGCGCAAAUGUUACGAAUUCGGGAGCAUCACGGGCAUUUUCCAAACCGCUUGCCCAUCAUGUAUUGCCGUCGCGGGAACUAUGUUUUUAUGCCCCCUAAUUUAGUAGGAGAGGCAUCAAUGACGACGUUUCCUGAGGCGGCUCUAGAAGGCUACGCAUCACGUUCGGCCUGAAUGCACGCUUUAUUGGGCGGCCGCAGCUGUACGUUAUUUCAACUCCAAAGGAUUGGAUGGCCUGAAUGCCACGUAGGCGAUAACAGGAUGCUGGAUGGAGCCCACUCAGAGCUGUUGGGCCAUUGUAUACCCCGCUUGGUUGGGCGAUGCCGAAGCCGUCGCUCACCCCAGAUUCAGUACAUGGCUCAUGGACCGUCUGGGCGUAUUAUCUUCUUGGUGAGUGUUUCUCUGGCGAUCGCAAGAAGCGCAACUUAUUGGCUCAUCAGAGUUGGAUAGCCUGGAUAACAGGCCGGAGACGAUACAGGAAUGCUGGAUGGAGCCCUCUCAGAGCUGCCGAGCUAUUAUCGACUCAAAGCCGUCGCUCAUUCCAAGUUAAGCACAUCAUCCGGCAGGCCGUCGUAGAGCACCUCGUGGAAGCGUCGUGGAUUGGAGCAUCUGGCAGCGCCUCUCAAACGCCAUACCAUUUGCAGGUCAGCUGGCUCAAGCGGUCGCAAAAACGCAUCAUGUCGGCUUCUCAGUGUUGGAUGGCCUGAUUAACAGGCCAAAGGCCAUACAGGAUGCUGGAUGGAGCCCACUACAGUGCCCAGAUUCAAUAGGUGGCUCAGUAGACCGUCUGAGCGUAUCGUAUUCUUGAACAACGCAUUAGCCUCGUAGUCUGGAAAACAUCCAGUGGCGUCUCUCACACGCCACACAACCCGUCCAGGAAUCGCAUUAAUCGACUGAAAGCGGUCGCUUAUUCCAAAAUGGACACAUAAUCCAGUAGGCCGACGUGGAGCAUAUCGUCUUGGAAACGUCGUUGAUUCGCACAUCUGGCAUUGUCUCUCACACGCUACCCCACUUUGCAGGAUCUGGAAGUCGGUCGUAGCAGCAUAUUAAUCGUUUUGCCGGUCGUAGCAGCGUAUUAGUCGACUCAUUCCAAAAUGGACACAUCAUCCAGUAGGCCGACCUGGAGCAUCUCGUCUUGGAUACCUCGUGGAUUGGAACAUCUGGCGGCGUCUCUCCACGCCACACCACUCGUCCAGAAUUUGCAGGUCAGCCGACCUUGACAGUCGCAACAACGCAUCAUGUCGGCUCCACAGAGCUGGAUGGCCAGAUUAACAGGCUGGAGAUGAUACAGGAUGCUGGAUAGAGCCCACUCAGAGCUGCUGAGCUAUUGCAUAUUUCGUUUGGGUGGGCGAUGCCAAAUCCGUCGCUCACCCCAAAUUUAGCCCAGUAGACCGUCGUGGGCGUAUCGUCUUCUUGGUGAGUAUGUGUCUGUAACUUUUAAGCAGAGCUUUUGAUUUUAUGUUUUUAAUUU